ACUAAUACAUUCAGUGACUUGAAGGUCUGUACUUAUUUGACUUCAGUUGAUUAGUGAAUAAUAUUGUAAAGUUUGGCAAAAAUGCAGAUUGAUACCACUAGUAAUUUUGCUAACUUUGAACUUCUCUUUUGCAGGUUGUGAAUAUCUUGCCCCAGAAAGGUGGAGCUCCACCGAAGUUCGGUCAAAGAACGCAGUGAUGUAGGCUAAACUCGUCAGUACGUCAGAGCUGUCUUUCUACAUUUAUGCUUCGUACUUCCUAGAAAUUUCAUGAUCUUCCUAUGCAUGCAGAGGGAAGAAGCAGUAUGAACCACCUGGGUACAUGACAAUAAAGACUGCCAUUGAGCAGUUCCUGGAAGUUGUGCAAGAAAAAGUAGAAUCUGGUAAUGAUAACUACUACUAUUACUCUAUAACUCACUCAUGUCUUAACUUUGAAUUUCAAAGAACUAAAUCAGACAUAGUUUAUCAAUUUAACAUUGAAUGUUGUUGUAUUAUGUUGCGUUGCAGUCUGCAAUGAAGACACGGAGUGUGUUGGUUUUGCUAGAAUUGGAAGUGAAGAUCAGAUCAUUGCGGCUGGUACAAUGAAGCAACUUCAAUUGCAUGUUUUUUUCCUAUCAAAUAGUACUGUAGGAGUGUGAAACUACUCAAAUUUUGACGUGUUAUUAUGUAAAAAAUUAAACUCUU